AUAUUCCUUCUUGAUAGAUACCCACACUUACACCAACUUACAACAACUUUCUUUUGUUGCUCGAACUGCCAAAAGAAAGUUAUGAGAUUGUGAAUGGGAAGGAAUUGACCUGUGAAAUUAAGAAUGGAAGAAAAACAAUGGAAGUUACAAGACUGUACUGAUUAUUAAUUUGAGAAUAAUUUCUAGAGACACAACAUACAGGGCUCUAACUUACUUACCAUUAAGUAAUUCUGGAUUUCAUUUGGAAAUUCACUUUUGCCUCAAUGCCUGACACAAAGUGUUGAAAUCCACUUUGGUAGAUUACCAAAGUCAUUCAGCAGCUGGGUUGUUGGAUGGGCCUUUGAGCAGCCUGGUCUAGAGGGAGGUGUCCUUGCCUAUAGCAGGGGGUUGGAACUAGAUGAUCUUGAAGAUCCCUUCCAACCCAAACCAUUCUAUGAUUCUAUGAUUCUGCAAACCUGAAAUUUUGUGAGCAAUCAAGGAGCACCAUCUGUAAUGUUCUGUUCAAAGUACACUACAAGAAAAAACUGUUGAGGUAGAAUCACUUUCAUUUUAGACUUUCGAAAACAUACGGAGAACCCAAAUGUCAAGCUAUGUGUUUAAUGAAUCAUGCUGUUCUAUUAUAAGCACAUAUAAAGUAUAUGAAAAUCAAGGUCAUAAGAGGGCAGCAUUUUUAAUAGAUUUCUCAAAACACCUUUAGUAUUUGACAGCAUUUCAAAUUUUUUACUGGUAGCUGAGAUAUGCUUACUUGCAAUAUAUGUACGUUCAUCUUCAAGCUUUAGCAAGAGUAAAAAGAAAAAAUAAUAGGGUAACUUCAGCACAGAUGGGAAAAUCCCAAAAGAGCUGGAUAAGCUUCAGAAGAAUGCCCUCAUUGAUGUGGAGAUACCUCCAGCAGCAGCUGGCACCCACGGAGACAAUGUAGAAAUAAACAAGGACAACAAAGGGCA
rnacentral:lncRNA from 1 species